CUUACAUAGUCCAAUCUUCAUUAAACACUAUCACAAUCUCAGACUUGACUAUCCUCGCUGAUAUUGAGGGGGAGUAACAACCAAUAAAACUGACAUGCCAUCUGUCAUUUACUGAUUGGGUUAGUUAGAAUUGUUGGUAUAGUUAGAGUAGUGAUGAGGUGUGCUGCCACAUAGGCAUAGUUUGUUACCAUUGCUUAGUAUAAAUACCCUGUAAUAAUUCUGUUUUCUUUCAAAGAAAUCAUUUCAGCUUCUUACAUUUCGCUCUCUCUCUAAACCUUUCUUUCAUUGUUAUGUUAAUCUCUUCACAAUCAUUCUAUUUUUACAGCCUUUUGUUAGGGGCAUUCAUAACUUUUUUCAGAGAUGAUUUCUAAAUUAUGAUAAAUAGAAUAAAAAUUUAGAACUAUAAUUGUGGAGCCAAAAAUAAUCAAGAGAAUUAUGAAGGUGACACAUGGGUUUUGGUUUAAAAUGACAAAAUUACCCUCGAGGCACACCGGGAUUCCCACGCACGUGCAACGAACAAUAACGGCUUAAUCAAAGAAGAGUCAAAGGUGAUCAAAAUGGUAUUUAUUCAAAACCCUUUCAUCACUCCUCAUCAAAUCAUUACCCAAAAGGUAACUCCCAAUUAUUCUAUUUAAAUUGGGAUUGAUUACCAAGUUAAUUGCAAGAUAUCAUUUCUCAUAAUAUCUUGCAAUUAAUCUCAUAAAACCACCAUAAGUGGCUGGUCCCUAUUCUCCAAAUAGGUCUAGCCACACCCUUAUAAAUAGUCCCAUUUUUCUCCAAAAAGCUAAGUCCAAUCUCUACCUAAAAAUCCUUAAACACUUUAUCUCUAAAUUUCUAACUUUGGCAUUGGAAAUUCUUCGGCCAAAGCCCC
rnacentral:lncRNA from 1 species